UACAGAGGUCUCAAGCGUUGUUCGGAUUCAUUGGGCGUAAAGGGUGCGUAGGCGGCGCGGUAAGUCGGGUGUGAAAUCUGGAGCUUAACUCCGAAACUGCAUUCGAUACUGGCGUGCUUGAGGACUGGAGAGGAGACUGGAAUUCAUGGUGUAGCAGUGAAAUGCGUAGAGAUCAUGAGGAAGACCAGUGGCGAAGGCGGGUCUCUGGACAGUUCCUGACACUGAGACACGGAAGGCCAGGGGAGCAAACGGG
rnacentral:rRNA from 1 species